rnacentral:rRNA from 1 species
GACGUAGGGCGCGAGCGUUGUCCGGAUUUAUUGGGCGUAAAGAGCUCGUAGGCGGCUUGUCGCGUCGUCCGUGAAAACUUGGGGCUCAACCCCAAGCUUGCGUCGAUACGGGCAGGCUAGAGUUCGGUAGGGGAGACUGGAAUUCCUGGUGUAGCGGUGAAAUGCGCAGAUAUCAGGAGGAACACCGGUGGCGAAGGCGGAUCUCUGGGCCAUUACUGACGCUGAGGAGCGAAAGCGUGGGGAGCGAACAGG